GUCGAUAUGUCCGAGUGGU
rnacentral:siRNA from 1 species